CAAUAGCGUAUAUUUAAGUUGUUGCAGUUAAAAAGCUCGUAGUUGAAUUUCUGGCUAGUUCUGUUCUCGGCAUCUCGUCGGCUCAGGGCUUAGUCAUCCGUAGGGGAAGCCUGUACGUCCUUCAGUGGUCGGCAGGGGGAACCUACAUUUUACUGUGAAAAAAUUAGAGUGCUUCAGGCAGGCAAUCGCUUGAAUACUCCAGCAUGGAAUAAUGGAAUAGGACUUUGGCCUAUUUGUUGGUUUGAGGUCAGAGUAAUGAUUAAUAGGGACAGUUGGGGGCAUUCGUAUUUAAUUGUCAGAGGUGAAAUUCUUGGAUUUAUUAAAGACGAACUUAUGCGAAAGCAUUUGCCAAGGAUGUUUUCAUUA
rnacentral:rRNA from 1 species